rnacentral:tRNA from 1 species
ACCAGUGUGGUGUAGUGGUAAGGAGCAGGGCUCGUAACCAAAAGGUUGCUGGUUCAAUUCCCCGCUGGGG